rnacentral:rRNA from 1 species
GAUGAACGCUGGCGGCGUGCCUAAUACAUGCAAGUCGAGCGAAUGGAUUAAGAGCUUGCUCUUAUGAAGUUAGCGGCGGACGGGUGAGUAACACGUGGGUAACCUGCCCAUAAGACUGGGAUAACUCCGGGAAACCGGGGCUAAUACCGGAUAACAUUUGAACCGCAUGGUUCGAAAUUGAAAGGCGGCUUCGGCUGUCACUUAUGGAUGGACCCGCGUCGCAUUAGCUAGUUGGUGAGGUAACGGCUCACCAAGGAAACGAUGCGUAGCCGACCUGAGAGGGUGAUCGGCCACACUGGGACUGAGACACGGCCCAGACUCCUACGGGAGGCAGCAGUAGGGAAUCUUCCGCAAUGGACGAAAGUCUGACGGAGCAACGCCGCGCGAGUGAUGAAGGCUUUCGGGUCGUAAAACUCUGUUGUUAGGGAAGAACAAGUGCUAGUUGAAUAAGCUGACACCUUGACGGUACCUAACCAGAAAGCCACGGCUAACUACGUGCCAGCCGCCGCCGUAA